rnacentral:rRNA from 1 species
GAAUUCGAUCGUGUCAGAACGAACGCUGGUGGCGUGUCUAUACAUGCAAGUCGAGCGGCGUAGCAAUACGUAGCGGCGAACGGGUGAGUAACGCGUAAGCAAUCUGCCCCAUAUCAGGAAAUACCCGUGCCAACGCGCGGUUAAUGUCCAGGAGAGUGGCCCCUUGCAUGAGGGGUUGACUAGAGAUUUAUCGGUAUGGGAUGAGCUUGCGUCCGAUUAGCUAGUUGGCGGGCAACGGCCCACCAAGGCGACGAUCGGUAGCCGGCCUGAGAGGGUGAUCGGCCACAUUGGGACUGAGAUACGGCCCAGACUCCUACGGGAGGCAGCAGUAGGGAAUAUUGCACAAUGGGGGGAACCCUGAUGCAGCAACGCCAACGUGUGGGAAGAAGCAUUUCGGUGUGUAAACCACUGUCGUGAGGGAAUAAGGCCCAGUUUAGGCUGGGAUUGAAUGUACCUCGAAAGGAAGCACCGGCAAACUUCGUGCCAGCCGCGGC